GGAGUUCAUCUGGAUGAAGUUCCACUCCACAACAGCCAUCUCAGAGAAGAAGGUUCUCCUGGAGGCUCUCACCUGCAGUGACAAUGGCUUCCUGCUCAACCGGCUGCUGAAUCUUUCUCUGAGCUCAGAUUUGGUCCCAGAUCAAGAUGUCAUCGAUGUCAUCAUCCACGUGGGAAGGAACCCGGCAUGAAGACACUUAGCCUGGAGGUACUUCAGGGAGAAGUGGGACAUCUUGAAUUCACGGUACGGAGAGGCCUUAUUCAUGACCUCUAAGCUAAUCAGUGGGGUGACUGAAUUCCUGAACACAGAGACGGAGCUGAAUGAGGUACGUUUAUUUAUUAAGGUUCACUCAGGUGUCCCAGUCUUCAGUAACACACUGGCUUAUUGUAUGAUGUGAUAUAUUUAACUACAUUGUAAAUUACACUUUUU